rnacentral:sRNA from 1 species
GGAGCCUGUCUUGACGGGGUACAGGAAGCUCUUUAGACUCUUGUACCCCUAAUUUGGCGGGGCAUUAGCCCUGCCAUUUUUCGUUUGUGUCGAAAGACAACAGUGGAGCUAGUAGA